rnacentral:rRNA from 1 species
GACGUAGGGGGCCAGCGUUGUUCGGAAUUACUGGGUGUAAAGGGUUCGUAGGCGGUGCGGCAAGUUGGGAGUGAAAUCUCUGGGCUUAACCCAGAGGCUGCUUCCAAAACUGCUGUGCUUGAGUGUGGGAGAGGCGCGUGGAAUUGCAGGUGUAGCGGUGAAAUGCGUAGAUAUCUGCAGGAACACCCGUGGCGAAAGCGGCGCGCUGGACCACUACUGACGCUGAGGAACGAAAGCUAGGGGAGCAAACGGG